rnacentral:rRNA from 1 species
GAUGAACGCUGGCGGUAUGCUUAACACAUGCAAGUCGAACGGACUCUUCGGAGUUAGUGGCGGACGGGUGAGUAACGCGUGAGAAUCUGGCUUUGGGUUCGGGACAACCACUGGAAACGGUGGCUAAUACCGGAUGUGCCGAGAGGUAAAAGAGAAAUUGCCUGAAGAUGAGCUCGCGUCUGAUUAGCUAGUUGGUGAGGUAAAGGCUCACCAAGGCAGCGAUCAGUAGCUGGUCUGAGAGGAUGACCAGCCACACUGGGACUGAGACACGGCCCAGACUCCUACGGGAGGCAGCAGUGGGAAAUUUUCCGCAAUGGGCGAAAGCCUGACGGAGCAAUACCGCGUGAGGGAAGAAGGCUCUUGGGUUGUAAACCUCUUUUCUUAGGGAAGAACAAAAUGACGGUACCUAAGGAAUCAGCAUCGGCUAACUCCGUG